rnacentral:rRNA from 1 species
UACAGAGGGUGCGAGCGUUAAUCGGAAUUACUGGGCUUAAAGCGCACGUAGGUGGCGACGUAAGUCGGGUGUGAAAGCCCCGGGCUCAACCUGGGAAUUGCAUUCGAGACUGCAUUGCUGGAGUACGGAAGAGGAGGGCGGAAUUCCCGGUGUAGCGGUGAAAUGCGUAGAUAUCGGGAGGAACAUCAGUGGCGAAGGCGGCCCUCUGGUCCAGUACUGACACUCAAGUGCGAAAGCGUGGGGAGCAAACAGG